rnacentral:pre_miRNA from 1 species
AGGAGGACAACCACAGUGGUGGCGGCCAGCUCUGGAGCCCUGGAUUCAGCUCCCGCAGUAACUACCAAGCUCUUGGUCUGCAGGGCCUGGAUGCUCCGGGGGCGG